GUCGACGACGCGGCAGGGGGCGCGGGAAUACGUGGGUGGCAAGGGUUGUCCGGAUUUAUUUGGCGUAAAGAGCGUGUAGGCGGCUUGGCAAGGCCGGUGUGAAAACUCGAGGCUCAACCUCGAGACGCCGGUGGAAACUGCAAAGCUAGAGUCCGGAAGAGGAGAGUGGAAUUCCUGGUGUAGCGGUGAAAUGCGCAGAUAUCAGGAAGAACACCCGUGGCGAAGGCGGCUCUCUGGGACGGUACUGACGCUGAGACGCGAAAGCGUGGGGAGCGAACAGGAUUAGAUACCCUGGUAGUC
rnacentral:rRNA from 1 species